UUUGUAAUUAGGAAAACAACAAAGAUUAAAACCAAGAGAAAAAAAAACAAAUUUAUUUUAGGUGGCAGGCAGUCAGGCCUUGCCUGGCCAUAUCACUUAUCAGAUGUGUGGUUGUGCAACCUGACUACCAGGUUUCAACUCCUGAGAUAUUGCUGUCAAACUCAGGUACAAAAUCUUUCCCACAAGCCCAGCCUGAGGGCUCAUCCUUAUUCACUGCAGUUUCUCUUGAUUUCUUUUUGACCCUCUACUGCCACUGCUGAUCUCUGGCCAUCCUCUUCCUGUCUCCUUGUCCAGCUGGGCCAGAUAAACAGACUUCUGGCAUUUUCAUGCAUGAUUCAUAACUUUAUGUAAAUGCUCUGGCAAGCUGGAUGAAUGGACAUGAUCCAAUAAAGAUAUUGAGCCUGAGAAUAAAACGCAGUAAAAGAGUGUUGAGAGCACAGAACUCCUCUGAAGUGGAAGGAUCCUUCUCACAGGAUGAAACCAUGUCUCACAUACUCCAGUAUUCUCAAAAGCCUAAUAUAGAACUGAGCAUGUACCAGAGCCUCAAUAUAUCUUUAUUUUUGUAAAUUAAAAAUUUAUACCGAUAUAUAAUGCGUAAGUGUGCC
rnacentral:lncRNA from 1 species